rnacentral:lncRNA from 1 species
UCAGAAGCUCUUUGAAAUCUGUCUUCUAAUUUCUCUGUCAUGUCUAUUCUUUUUUGACAAUUCCAUUUUCAAAAUAUGCAUAGUAAAUCGUUUCAUUUCCUUUACUAUUCUGAGGCUUUCCUUUCCUCCAACCUUCCUCUCCUGAAACUUCCUAGUCUGGCUCACUCCUCUCAUCGUAUCGUGCUUGAUCCUCAGCAUACUUAGGAACUCCCUUAUCCAAAUGUAUUUCUUCUCCUCUUCUUAGCGUUUCUGUUGCUAGAAUAUGUGCAAGAUUAUUUUUCGAUCUUGGUGUAUGUUGAAAUCUGAUAUUAUAAAGUCCAUAUUUUGCUGUUGGAUAUCAUAAAUGUAUGCCCCUACCAUUGAUUGAUCUUGACCCUUUGUGCUACAUUUCUUGAUAAUUAUGAGGGAAUCUCCUUCAAGAAUCAGAAACUGCCAUCCCUUCCCGAUUCCUAUUUGGACUGCUUUCCGGCAGGCUAUUGCUUCAGCAGCAAAGGCCGAUGAGAUAUCAUUAUGGAUUUCUGAACAUGAUAAGAGGAUUUUUCCUUCUGAAUCUCUGACCACAACACCCGAAGCCGAAUGGUUCUGGCUUUUAUUAUAGGCACCGUCAAAGUUGAUCUUAAUGAAACCUCCCUGUGGGCACUUCCAUCUCUUUUUCUCUCCGGUAAGAUUCAAAUCUCUUUUUCCAAGGCUAGUAAUCUCACUAAUGUAACUGUUUAUAAAGUUUGCAACUUCCUUCCCAUUACUAACUUUUCCUUCAUGUAUUCUUUUGUUUCUAUCCCCCCAUAUGGCCCAAAGUGCACAAUAGAAGAGUCGACUUUGGUAAAGGUUAAGCUUCUCUAACACCCAGGUAAUCCACUGUACAAAAUCCUCGCAUUGAUUCAUCAUAAUACUCUGAAAUGAUAAUUCUCUCCAUACAUCACUUGUAACAGGGCAUUCACGAAAUAGAUGAUUCAUUGUUUCAGCUACUUUCUCCGCAUCGGGGACAACUUGGAUUGACUGCUAACUUUCAGUGCUGUAGAUUCACCUUUGUAGGCAAAUAAUUCCAUGAUAACCUCCAUAUUGUGACCUUUAUUUUUGUUGGUAGAUUUAGGCUCCAAAGUUUUUUGUAAAAAUUCCUGUAGAUGGUUUGUAAAGCAUAAGCUUUAGGACUUUCAACCGAUCUCUAUAAUAGUUUAUAGGCGCUUCGGACCGUGAAUUCACCCAACAUCUCACCCCUCCAAAUAAGAAAGUCUUCAUGCGGUGUUUGUGCCAGAGGGAUUCUGAGGAUUCUGGCAGCAUCUUCUUCCGUAAAGGUACUAUUGAUCAACUCUUUUUUCCAACUUCUAUUAUUACUGUCAAUCAGCUCAUCAACUUUAGAAACGUGCAAAGAAUUUAUUUCUGAUAAUAAUCUAAAGUUAACUGAAUCUGGAAUCCAAGCAUCACUAAUAGAUAUACUAGAACCCGUCCCCACCCUCCAACAAUGCCCUUUUGUCAAUAGAUCUUUGGCUGCCCAAAUACUUUUCCACACAUAAGAACAUGAAUUUCCUAAACGGGAGUUUAAAAAAUGAUCUUCCGGGAAAUAUUUAGCUUUAAAUACUUGCGUAACGAGAGCAUUCUGAUUAUUCAUAAUCCUCUACCCUUGUUUAGCCAGUAAUGAAAUAUUGAAUUGCGCCAUAUUUCGAAAGCCCCUACCUCCCUCCUCUUUAGGCCUACACAUAUAUUCCCAUUGACACCAAUGAAUUCCUUUCUUACCUUUUCCUUUCUGCCACUAGAAUCUAGCAAAUAAAUUGUCAAACUCACCACAAAGUGACUUUGGUAGUAGAAAACAUGUCAUGGCAUAAGUAGGAAUUGCUUGGAGUACUGAUUUAAUGAAAACCUCUCUACCCCCUUGAGAUAAGAAAUGAGUGCUCCAAUUUUUGAUCCUUUUCUUUAUUCUGUCUUUAAGAUUCUGAAAAGAUUCCUUUUUCUUCCUUCCUACCAUGUUUGGCAGUCUUAGAUAUUUCUCCAUAUUAUUCGAACAUCUUAUUCCCAUUUCAGCCGAUAUACUUCCUUUGUCACCUUCCUCUAUAUUAGAGCUAAAAAAGAUCAUGGACUUAUUAAAAUUUACACAUUGACCAGAACAAAUCUCAUACUCUUGCAAAAUAGCUUUUAGGUCCCUUGCACUGCUCUCGGUAGCUUCACCAAACAAAAUGCAGCCGUUUGCAAAUAGCAAGUGUGAAAUUGUCGGGCCUCUUAUGCUAGCUCUCACCCCUUUAAUCAACCCCUCUCUUGUUGCAGUCCUGAUUAAGGACGAUAGUCCUUCACUACAAAUAAGAAAAAGAAAAGGGCUAAGUGGGUUACCUUGUCGGAGCCCUCUGGUUGGUUUAAAAACUCUGCCAGUCCUCCCAUUUGUGGUCACAGCAUAAAAGACUGUAGAAAUACAUCUCAUAAUUAAUGACACCCAUUCCUUCGCAAAGCCCAUACGAAUCAUAACUUCCUUCAAGAAUAUCCAUUCAACUCUAUCAUAAGCUUUACUCAUGUCCAACUUAAUCGCCAUGAAUGCUUUUUUCCCCUGACAUUUUUGUCGAAGUGUAUGUAAAAUUUCAUAGGCUAUCAAAACAUUGUCCGAAAUAAGCCUCCCUGGGACAAAUGCACUUUGAGCACUAUCUAUGCACCUUCCAAUAACUUCCUGAAGACGAUUGGCAAUAGCUUUGGCUAUUAUUUUAUAUAUAACUGUGCACAAACUAAUCGGUCUAAAAUUAGCAAGAUUUGUAGGAUUGGAGUUCUUCAGAAUAAGAGUAAUCUUAGUCAGAUUUAACCCUUCUACAUCUUUUCCGUUGUUCAAAACUUCCAAAAGGAAAUUCCCAAUAUCUUCACCCACAAUACCCUAGUAUUUUUGAAAAAAUAGAGCCGAAAAUCCAUCAUAACCUAGAGCUUUUGUAGAACCCAUUCCCUUUACUGCUAUAAAAAUCUCUUCUUCCGUAAACUUUUCCAAAAGGGCUGUGUUGAUGUUUGGAGGAAUGCUGUUUUUAAUACCUGUUAAAAGGUGGGAAAAAUCUCCAAUGCCAUUAGUUGAAAAUAGCUUCUGAAAAUACUGCGUAGCGAUCUCAUUUAUUUCUGCUUCCUCAGUGAUUCCUUUUCCAUCAUCACUAUCAAGCCUGCGUAUUGUAUUGAUUCUUUUCCGCAUUGAGGCAUAUUUAUGAAAAAUGCCGUAUUCUUAUCCCCUAGCUUCAGCCAGUUAGCCCGUGCUCUUUGUUCCCAAUACAUCUCCUCCUUUUCGAUCUCCAUACUCAGAUGGAUUCUUUUGUCAAUAAUCUGGAUCAUAAUAUCUUCAUCUAGUUCCUUCGUCAUUAAAUCUUCAAGCUCUUUCGUAAUUUUAUCCGUCAGCCCCUUUCGUUUCUUCUUUAUUGAAUUUACCCAUUUUGACAAGCUGACCUGUAAUCUCUCAAUCUUCUCAAAAAUCGAUCCAUUUGAUGACUCCCAUGAUUUCCUAAUUUCUUCUUCAAUUGAUUCCUCUGUGGUCUACCAUGCUUCGAAUUUGAAACUUGGAGCUUUCGUGAAUCUGCUUUCAUUAGUUGUGCUUAUUAGGAGAGGACAAUGAUCCAAAAGUGAAGACGUUAAAUGAUGUAUAUUGCCUGUUGGAAAUAAGUCCAUCCAUUUUUCAUUCGCAACACCCCUAUCCAAUCUUUCCCUAAUGUUUGUCUCUGGUAGAUUCCCUCUUUCCCAUGUAUACCAUAUUCCCGAGUAUCCCACGUCUAUAAGUUGGCAUUCUUUUAGAACUUCACGAAACGCUUCCAUCUUCUUCUCCUCCCUCGGUUGACCUCCUCUUUUUUCAAAUGAAUAAGCUAUUUCAUUAAAAUCUCCACUCAUUAACCAUGGAUACUCUCGUUCCUGCCCCAAGUUUCUUAGUAAAUCCCAUGAGGCAUUUUUAUUUUGUGAGUAAGGUUAGCCAUAAAAACCUGUGAAUCUCCAUUCUUUGUGAACCCCUUCUUCUUUGAUCAACACAUCAAUAUGACUUGUUGACAGAGUUUUAAGAUUAACUUGAACCUCCUCUCGCCAUGCUAAGCAAAUCCUACCCCGCGUACCAACAGCUCCUACUUCAAGCCCAUUUGUGAAUCCACACCUCCUCCUAAUUACCUCCAUACACUUUUCACUAACUUUAGUCUCCAUUAGGAAGACUAUUUGAGAAUUAUUUUGUUUUAGUAAAAACUGAAGCCUCCUUACUGCUCGUGGACUCCCCAAUCCACGAACAUUCCAGCAUAUGAUUUUCAUUGUGUCCGGUCGGCUUGCCCAUUGGUAGCCGCUAAUCCAUUCUGGUUGGAGUAUUCCACUAGCAAAUUAGUUUCAUCCUCAUUGGUUAGAACUUGUCCGCCAUGUCUCACCCUUUUUGGUGUCUCUUCCUGAGUCUCUCUUGCCCCGUACUCAUCCUGUAUGAUCUCUGCCAAUUUCCUUUUUUGCAAUUUGCGAUCUAUCUCAUGAUUCCUCAUCACUCCCAUUGAUUUCAUCCUUUUCCAACUGGCUUUCCUAACUGAAUUCAAUAUAUUGGUGUUAUUGUUCUCACUAUUUCCUUCGUUGAUUCCUUCUUCCUGUUGUAUCUCUAAAUCUUCUUCUGUUGUUGUCAACCAAGCACCAUCUUGUACUCCUCUCAUCAUACCACUACUUUGUUCACUGUAUAAAUACUCUUCCUGAUUCCCUGUAAUAUUUCCUACAUACGAGCAUUGAGUUUGUAGUUUUUUUGCUAGAGCAUUUAGCUUUAGACUCUCCCUUCCAACCAAAUUUAAUUCUGCUUUUAAUGCCAAAGAAAAAGGUGGAUCCUCUCUAAUUCUGUUUUUCUCUGCGGGUGUAAUUUCUGUACAAUCAUGAAGGCCAUGCCCCAACCUUCCACACCCAAAGCAAAAAAGUCGAAAACUUUUCAUACUUGAAUGGGAUCCAAAAUUUGUUUCCAUUCCCUAUUGAAACAAAAAUACCCCUACGAAGGGGUCUCUACACAUUUAGCUUCACUCUGAGACGGCAAAACUCACCUAGUAUUUCAAAUCUGAGCACCCCUCCAAAAGUGACUCUUAUAGCAUGCAGAAGAUAUUUUUUUAUCAACCUCUAGUAAACAAGGCCCAAUUUUAAUCCAAAACAGAGAUGAAACAAGUCUAAUUUGAUCUCUCGCCAUUGGUUUACUCAAUUGAUCAAAGAGAAUUAAUUGUUUCCUAAACAACCAUGGUUGACCUUCCAGAAUAGUCUCUAAGUCUUCUUCUAGUUCAAAAGCUAUCAAAAAAAGGUUUUGUCCUACCACUUGAAUCUCGAAUUUCUUCCUUGUUUUCCAGAUACUUCUCAUCUGUGCUUUGAAACUAUCCUGGUUAUAAGAUUUCUUUGUCCAUAUAGAACAUAUCAGAGAAGAGUUGCCGUUUGGCUCCACCAUCAAACUUUUGACCGAUAGUUGAAUAAGUUCCUCUGUUAAUAGGGAGAUCUCAUCUCCCCCAAACCCAUCGUUACCACCACUCUCCAUCAUCCCAAGCCGCAGCAGCCACUGUUAUCGCUAAGAUACCAAGGAUAGCACUCUUUGUUUCUAGGGUUUUUGUAUAUCCAGCUAGAGACUAUAAUUUUAUCGAACACACAAUAAUUAGUUUUCUUAUUUUGUCUAUAAAUUAAAUAUAAUCAUAAUAACCAUGGAAAUUAGUUAAUAAGUAAAUUUAAAUAAUUUAAUUUGUAGAUGAUAAUAUUAAUUAUAAUUAUAAAAUAAUCCAUUUGUUGUUAAUUAAUAAUGUUUUAAAAUAAUACUUAUAUAUAGAUGUACGAAUUUUUUGUAUUUAAAUUAAAAGAAACAUUUAAUUAAUUCAUAUUAUAUAAAAAAUAUUUAUACAUAAUUUAAUUUAGAGCUUUUAUUUAUAAAAGACUUACACAUAAUAUAUUUGACCAUUGCAUGCCAGGGUCUUAGUACCGGAUAAAAAAACUUAUUUAGUACUGGAUGCCAACGUUGUCCUAGUACUAUAUUAGAAUCAACACAAACAUUUAGUACUAGAUGAUGUAACACCUCAAAAAUCAUUACAUUAUGAAAGUAGUGAAAAAUCGAGAAUUUGUCCUUGAUAAAGAGAGAUAAGGAAAUAACAGUGACAAAAAGAGAAAGUUGAGUAAUGUUAAAGAAAAUUUUAAUUAAGAGGUAUGUUGAAAUACAUUAAUUUAAAGUAAGGACUAAAUCAUAAAUGUGAGAAAAGUGUGUGGUUCAAGCAUAAAUAUUCAAUUAGCAAGAGAAAAUUCUAGAAUGUAAUGAUUAUGUUGAUGAUAUUUUGGAGAUAUUUUAAAUUAAUUAAUUAGAUAAAUAUUAUUUUAUUAAUAUUUUAAUAAGAUAAUUUUUAAUAUUUCAUUUAAUUAAGGCUAAUAUAAAAAGAAAGAAACCAAGACUUCCAACGUCCAAGAAGAGAGAAAGAAAGAAAAUUUUACUUUCUUUAUAAUUUGGUCCUUCCACCAAAAAUCUACCAUUUUCACCUAGGAAUCAAAAGAAUUUCUAUAACCACUAAGAGAGCAAAAUGAUAAGGAGGUUAUGGGUAGUAAGAAUAUCAAUUUAGAUUAAAAAAAAUAGAUGUUGGAAGAGAGAGAAAAUCAAGUUAAAGCUUAGUUUUAAGAGAACAAGGUAUGGAUGUUAAAGUUUUAUGUUGUUUUCAAGUUUAAUAGUAUUAGAAAAGUAUAUAAAUGAUGUUAGAAUAAAGAUUACUCGUGGAAAAGUAUUAUGUUUUUUGACAUGUUGAUGAAGAAAGAAGUUGAGAAAGUGAAUUAAGUGAGAAGAAAAAGAGAAGAGUAAGUGAUUUUGGAUAGAAAAGGGGUAAAAUAUGAAAUUAGUGAAAUAUGUGGUAAGUUAGUAAAACAAUGUGUGAAAUAAUUUAACAUGUGAAGUAGAAAAUUAUGAUAAAAGCAUAAUAAAUAUGUUAUGUGAUGAUGAAAAAUGCACAAAGUAUUCAAUAAGUAAAAUUAUGGAAAAAUAUGGAAUUUUUAUGAUAACAAGGAUAAAUUGUAAGACUUGAGAAAAUAUGUGGUUGAAAUAAUAAAUGAAAUAAGAUAUUGGAAUAAAUUACGUGAUUAAUGUAAUAGUCUGUUUUACUGGUGUCAAAAAUAGCGAUUUCAGGAUCACGAUUCCGAUAAGUGAGUUAGUAUUUUAAUAUUUAUUUAACGUCUAUAGGGUUAUAUUAGGGUUGUAUUAAAUUCUCUUUAAGAAAUUUUGAGGUUUAAAUAGUUAAUUAGGUAAAAAAAACUAAACCGUAAAACAUGCAAAAAUUGGUUUCUAUUAGUUAAAUAGAUUAAAUGGCUUUGGAAAUAUAAAUUAAUGGAUCUAGUUAGUAAUUAUGCCAUAUAUAUUAAUGUUGGACAAUGAUGGACAUGAUUUAGUUAUUUUAUAAGCUUUUAAAAUAAGGGUAAAAUAGUAAUUAAUUAACUAAACACAAAACAAAUAACUAAAAUGCUAUCAUCUUCUUUGUUUUACUUUGUUUCAACUGAAAACACCAUUAAAGAAGGAGCUUGAAGUUUUGGCUAGGGUUUGCAUGGUAUGUGUUUGAGCCUUGUUUUUAGUAAUUUUUAUGUUUUUGAGCUUGUUUUAGCUUAGUCUAGUUAGCUCGAGGGUUAAUUUGUAAAAUUUUUAAAGGUUAAGGGACUUUCCAUGGAUGAAUUUGAUGUGUUUUUGAAGCUGAUUGAUAGAAUAAUAAGGUUGAUUGUUGAAUAAGCUUAUUUUGUUAUGAGAUUUUUAAUGAUUUUGAGUAUUAGGGGUUAAAUUAUUGAAAGUGUAAAAUUCAUUGGUAUUAAUGUGAAAUUUUAGUAAAAAUGGGCUGUAUGGAACCUUUAAUAAAAUCAAUUAGUAUGGUUUUGGUUAAAGAAAUGGUUAAAUUGUGAGUUUCGGGUUUAAGGACUAAAUUGCACAAAGAGUAAAAUAUUAGGGGUGAUUUUGUAAUUUCACAUUAUAAUGAGCUAUGAACUAGAAUUAAUGGUUUUUGACUAUUUGAAAUACUUAAUUGAGUUAAAUUACUAUUUAGAUCAAGAAAAGAAUCAAUCGGACUUGAAUCGAGGGAAAACAAAAAUCUCGGAUUAGUUUUCAACUUAGCUGUAACAACUGGGGUGAUUGAGGUAAGUUCGUAUGAGUUAUAUACUUAUUAAUUAUUAUUUAGAUUGAUUAUUAGUUAAUGGGAUGUUAGAUAUAAUUUGAUUCAGUAAUAUUAUAAUGGCUUGAAUACUUGACGGUUUAAUAAUAUGGAUUAUAUGGUUUCGGGUCCUAGUACUGGAUGUCCUAUCGAUGGCUAAGGUCCUGUAGUUGUUGCAGAUUCUCCACAGCUUGUGUGAGCAGCAUCGUGUAGCUAACAUUCCUGAUUAUCCGAUGUUAUUCUAUAUGCUUCAACGGGUAAGUAAAAGUUAAUGGAAAGACAUGUAUACAAACUUAUAAUUGUUAAUGAUCUUAUGAAAUGGAAAGUAUGAUAUUUACAAAUGGAUGGAAAAUGUUAUUAAUAAAAAAUGUGAGAAAGGAUGAAUGUAUGCAACUCAUUUCAUGAUAUAUGCCAUGUUUCUUUGAUAUUAUAUUUUAAAGUUAUCUAGUAAUAAUGCGGAUUGUUGUGAAUAGGAAAGUAAAAUAUCUAUAUGAUUUAAAGAGCAUGGUUGAAUGAUUUAACGUUUAAUGUUCGGUAAGUUUGAGUUUCUCCUAUACGAGCUUACUAAGCACUAGUUGCUUACGUAGUUGUUUUUCCUCUGUUUUGUAGAUCAUCGGUACCUCAACCGGUUGGAAUCUUGUCGGAUUCUUAUCACAUUAUCCAACAAUCACUUUGGUAGUUUUAGUUACUUUGGCCAUGGUUAUUAAUGGCAUGUAUAGGGUUUAUAUGUAAUAAGUGUUUUGAGUAUGUUAUUUGGUUAACUUGAUAUGGUUAUGCUUUUGUGUAUAUGUUUGUUUGGCUUGUAAUGCUUUGACAAGUUUGUGUCUUUUUAUCCCACUUAAAUGUCUUGUAAAUAUAUGGCUUAAGACAUGUUCAUAUAUGAUUGAAAUGGUUCUAUGUAGGUGUGGUGAUGUAUAUUUAGGUUAUAAUAAGGGAAUUGAGUUGAUGUAUGAAUUGCGGUGCCUUUGAAUGACAUAUUGAUUAGAACUUACAGGAUGGUUAAUUUGGUAUGUUUGAGUGUGUUUGGUCUAUGUUUAGUCAAAUGAAUGUAUGUGGAAAUGGUGUAUCUUGUUCGGCAAGGAUAGGUAUUGUAAUGGCUUGUUUUAAGGGCUAAAUUUGGAGCACACAGCUUGUCACAUGGCCAUGUCCAUACACAAUUUGGCUCACGGCUUGCGACACGGUUGUCUGGCCCUAUUUCGAAUACCCACACGGGCGGACACACGGGCUAGGACACAGCCAUGUGUCCCUAGUUCGAAUAUCCACAAGGCCUGGGCUAUAUCACACAGGCGUGUGACCCUUGUUUCCCAAUUUUUCAAGUUUUUCCAAAAUUUUUUGAUUUGUUUCAAAUUGAUCCUCAACUGUUCUCAAAUUAUUUUUAAGGCCCCAAAGGCUCGAUUUAAGGCCCACAUAUGUAUUUUUUUCAUGAUUGCAAUAAGUUAUUGGAAAUUAAUAUUAAAC